CAAACGUCUCAUGGAGCAGAACUCGAACCCAGGCGAUAAACUCCAGAGGCUGGCUUUGCAGCUUGAUUCCCCCUUUGAGGCCCCUCUUCUCAUCUGAGAACUGCAGCGGAGGUUGUUACAACUUGAAGAUUAGCCAGUGAGCCAACUCUGCUCCUAGCCACCAGCUGAGGUCUGAGAGAAGCUGGCCUAUGGGGUCCCAGCAGAUCCUUAUAUCUGCCUGCUUAAACUCUCCCCCAGGAUAACACUGAGCAUCAUGGCAGACACCCUGGAUACCUGCUCAAUAAGUGUUUGUUGGGUGAAUGAAUGAUUCCCUUGGCCUGCACUAGAGCAGCCCUACCAAUAGGUACAAAACUGGAAGAAGUGACAACCUGGAC
rnacentral:lncRNA from 1 species